UUGUCCCUGCGGUGUUCGUGACUUGGCCAUACAUUCCUUGAACCAAUGCUAAUGGCAUAGGUUGCCGGAUUGGCCGGUGGGCGUGAUCUCUUCCUCGUGUAGAGAACCCGAAGCCGUCCUGAUGGCGACCACUCUUGAACCUCCGGUUCAGGAUGCCGGCCUAGACGGCACUUGCGGGGCACCU
rnacentral:other from 2 species